ACGGCCGUACCAUGCUGAAUAUACCGGUUCUCGUUAGAUCACUGAAGUCAAGCAUCAUUGGGCGCGCUCAGUACUUGGGUGAGUGACCACCACCUGGGAACACCGCGUGCCGUU
rnacentral:rRNA from 1 species